rnacentral:tRNA from 1 species
UGGCUCAGUUGGUAGAGCAUGGUGUUUGCAAUGCCAGGGUUGUGGGUUCAAUUCACAC